GAUGAACGCUGGCGGCGUGCCUAAUACAUGCAAGUCGAGCGAACAGACGAGGAGCUUGCUCCUCUGACGUUAGCGGCGGACGGGUGAGUAACACGGGGAUAACCUACCUAUAAGACUGGGAUAACUUCGGGAAACCGGAGCUAAUACCGGAUAAUAUAUUGAACCGCAUGGUUCAAUAGUGAAAGACGGUUUUGCUGUCACUUAUAGAUGGAUCCGCGCCGCAUUAGCUAGUUGGUAAGGUAACGGCUUACCAAGGCAACGAUGCGUAGCCGAUCUGAGAGGGUGAUCGGCCACACUGGAACUGAGACACGGUCCCGACUCCUACGGGAGGCAGCAGUAGGGAAUCUUCCGCAAUGGGCGAAAGCUUGAUGGAGCAACGCCGCGUGAGUGAUGAAGGUCUUCGGAUCGUAAAACUCUGUUAUUAGGGAAGAACAAAUGUGUAAGUAACUAUGCACGUCUUGACGGUACCUAAUCAGAAAGCCACGGCUAACUACGUG
rnacentral:rRNA from 1 species